rnacentral:lncRNA from 14 species
CCUUGACUUGUGGGAUGGCCAAUAGGCAAGGGGGGCGGGGCUUACCCAGAGGAAACAAAACACACAGUCACCCUGGAAGCCGCUUCCAGGCUUCACAGAGUAUGGCAUUACUUGGAUUGUGUUCCACAUUAUUCCCCCACCCCCAACCUCCAGCAAAAGCUGACAGGAGACCCGUGGGAAGGCCCUGAUGUCCCUGAAGAGCUGUUCUUGUCCUGAACAGUCCUUGAAAAGGCUUCCUAAGGCAGCACCUGGAGAGCAGGGCAGACGGCAGCUUUGAGCCCGUCAGAGCAGAUACAGUUUCUCCAUUCGUUCCUGGCACAAUUGGAUUUUCCUUGCUACAUCAAGGCACGUGAAGAUCGCUGGUACUUAGGAAGUGGGACCUCCAACCCAGGAGAAGAUUCUAGAAAGUGUGGCAUAGGCUGAGCAUAUGUGAAGGGGAAUGUGUACUCUGCAUUGGGAACCAUGCCAAGUGCCCGUGUUAUAGUCUGGAUAUAAAAUGGUCCACUGGAGGCUUGAGACAUGGCCCAGAGGCUACUAGUGCCUGCCGCUGUUGUAGAAGAAAUAGGUUCAAUCCCUGGAACUUACAAUGGCUUGUAACUCUUGGAGAUGUGAUACCUUCUUCUGGCCUUUGUGAGUACUCCAACACAUGGCACCCAUCCAUUUAUCCAUCCAUCCAUCCAUCCAUCCAUCCAUCCAUCCAUCCAUCCAAAUAAAAAUAAAUCUUUUCAUUUCUGUUUUUUUGUUUUUUGAGACAGGAUUUCUCUAUAUAGCCCUGGCUGUCCUGGAACAGGCUGUGGAGACCUGCGGAGACCAUCUUGGCCUUGAACUCAGAGACCACUGCCACACACUACCACAAAAACAUACAUCUUUCACAAAAGGUUUGUGUGCAGAAGGUUUGGUCUCCAGAACACCCUUCACUCCUUGUCUUCUUGGAGUCUGCUUCUUCACCCAGAAGGACUGA